ensembl:lncRNA
AAGGACUAGGUCAAACGGGGUCCUUAUUUGGGUCCUCGAGUUUAGUAAGUAAAUAAUUAGCAAGCAGAGCUGAAAUAAAUUAGAAUUUAACACUGAAUGUGGUUUAAGUUUAAAUAAGUCAAGGAUGAAAGUGAACUAGAGAGGCAGGCUAUGCCAUUUUCGCUUACAACCGUUUCCAACAGGAAAGCAGUGGAGGAGAGGAGCUCCUUAAGGAAGCCAGCAGAGCAAAAGUCCGUGCUGGGACGAUGGGUCCUACUGGAUGGAUUAAAUGUCUCCUGCUGUGACGCGUUUGUCUUCAGAUCAGCUCGCUUCUGAGAGAGAAAAACAUCGAAACACGGACUGUGAAAAGAAGUGCAACCACAAAAGAGUUCAUUCACACGGAAGAUACCGCUCCGAGUCUCAUUCACACACUUCAAAACACCGCUCUUCCUCACGCGGUCACCAUCCGGAGGACACGCCCCCCCACCUCCCCCGGAAGUCAGAAAGUAGUGCGGGACAGGUCUCCAGAGGUCAGAAAAUACACUGACAGUGGGGGGAAUAAUGUAACGGGCUUUGUUUUGACCACACAUUAGAUCUCUACAUGAACACACCUAUGAAUUCCUACAAUUCUGCUAAUUUCCAUUUGCCAUUAAAGGUGCUGAACAAUAAUAUUAAAUAGCAUUUUUUAAAACUAAAAGACGGAAUUCGAUUAUUGGGAGAGACUGUGAAUAUCAUUGUGACUUGAAAGGACGAUUUUCAGAGCUAUUUUAAUACGUCAUUGUGUAUUGCAAGUUUCUCCUCAGGCUUGUUUCUUUUUUUAUUUAUAGAAAUGUAUUGAAAUGUAUUGUUUGUAUAAACACAUACUUUGUGUGUGUGUGUGAAUACAGUCACACACGAAGUAGGAUAUAUGUUUAUAUAUUAUGUGUUUACGUUGUAUAAUUUAUAUUUUUUCAAAAAUGAUAUUUUGUUAAUGAAUAAAUGAUUAUGAUGAUAACGUUUAGAAUGAACGUUUGUGAAAUAAACGCGAGUGUUUGUGGGAGAUGUUUCCGUCAUUAAGUGCGUGGUUCCGGAAUGAAUUAUUGCGCCUGAGAUUUUCCUCAAUGUGCGGCUUGAAUUCCAGUUUAAAUGUCAUUAUCAUUCCUUUGCGGGGGGUUGACAUGUUUGCCCAAGCUUUACUGUCACUACUAAGCGAGCAUAUUUUAUCGCCGUUUGAUCUCUGCCACUGUUAUUAUUUCUUAUUGAAGAGUCUGAAAAGUAAAAAGGCUUAGUUUCUGUGAUUCACCUGAUUACUCGCACCUCACAUGUGAUGUGAUAGGAAAUUUAAAUCAAAAUGCACGAAUUUAAUUUAAAAAAACAAAACAAACCAGCAACUUAUUUAAGAGUGUUGCCAAAACUGCGUUUUCUUUUGUUUUGUAAGACGAAGCAUCCUGUGGGUGUAGGCCAUCGGGUUUAUCAACAUCUGAUUGUGGUUUUACAUAACGCAAUUGUAGCAUUGAUUUAUCUGAACUCCCAUUAUCGAGUCGCACUUGGACAUUUAUAGCUACACAUUACUCCUACUCAAACAUACAAGUGGUUUCAACGUUUUUGCUCGUCUCCUAACUGGUUUAUUGCGUUUUAUCUGAAGUCUCAAACCCCAUUUUAAUUGCUAGCCGAUUUUAUG